GAUGAACGCUGGCGGCGUGCCUAAUACAUGCAAGUCGAGCGAAUGGAUUAAGAGCUUGCUCUUAUGAAGUUAGCGGCGGACGGGUGAGUAACACGUGGGUAACCUGCCCAUAAGACUGGGAUAACUCCGGGAAACCGGGGCUAAUACCGGAAAACAUUUUGAACCGCAUGGUUCGAAAUUGAAAGGCGGCUUCGGCUGUCACUUAUGGAUGGACCCGCGUCGCAUUAGCUAGUUGGUGAGGUAACGGCUCACCAAAGCAACGAUGCGUAGCCGACCUGAGGGGGCGAGCGGCCACACGGGGACUGAGCAACGGCCCAAACUCCUACGGGAGGAAGUAGUAGGGAAUCUUCCGCAAUGGACGAAAGUCUGACGGAGCAACGCCGCGUGAGUGAUGAAGGCUUUCGGGUCGUAAAACUCUGUUGUUAGGGAAGAACAAGUGCUAGUUGAAUAAGCUGGCACCUUGACGGUACCUAACCAGAAAGCCACGGCUAACUACGUGCCAGCCGCCGCCGUAA
rnacentral:rRNA from 1 species